rnacentral:rRNA from 1 species
AACGUAGGAGGCGAGCGUUAUCCGGAUUUACUGGGUGUAAAGCGCGUGUAGGCGGUCCUGCAAGUGGUGCGUGAAAGCGCCCGGCUCAACCGGGCGAGGACGUGGGCGAACUGCAGGGCUAGAGGCAGGUAGAGGCGUGUGGAAUUCCGGGUGUAGUGGUGAAAUGCGUAGAGAUCCGGAGGAACACCAGUGGCGAAGGCGACACGCUGGGCCUGGCCUGACGCUGAGAGGCGAAAGCAUGGGGAGCGAACGGGAUUAGAAACCCCGGUAGUCCAUGCCGUAAACGAUGCUGACUAGGUGUGGCGGGUAUGAACUCCUGCCGUGCCGGAGCCAACGUGGUAAGUCAGCCACCUGGGGACUACGGCCGCAAGGUUAAAACUCAAAGGAAUUGACGGGGGCCCGCACAAGCAGCGGAGCGUGUGGUUUAAUUCGAGGCUACACGAAGAACCUUACCUGGGCUUGACAUGGCGGUGGUAGGGAACCGAAAGGGGACCGACCUUCGGGAGCCGUCACAGGUGCUGCAUGGCU